GAAGGAAGGGGAGCUAGAAGAAUUUCAAAGCGUCGUAUAGAGGCGGGGUUUACUAGUAAAAAGCUCAAGGUCAACAAUUAGUUUUCGUGCGUUUGCGUCGUUUUUCUAUCUAUGAUUAAUUUUGGUAUUUACAUUGAACUCAUUCACACGGCAAAGUAAACUCGUAAAAUUAAAACUUUCAAAACAAGUCGUUAUAUUGGUACAGAUUAAUUUAUUUUCAUUUCAAAGCUCAAAAAUUAAUACGAUGAUACACGGACCUAAUUGAGAAUCGCAACCAGAAACACAAAAAAUCGAAAUACCACAAAUCUGACAAAACAAAAAUUAACUUUCUUCGCAGAUUUCUAACCUUGUCAGCAUCAUUUUCAUUGUCUAUCUGUACUUGCUUGCCCUUAAAUUAAGCCCAGAUCAGGUGGAUUAUUUGGCACAAGUUGCAUCAUUGCAGAAUGCAUGAGCAUACAUAACGAUCACAGCAAGUCAUUCUUAAUUUAAUACAUUGCCAUUCGCAGUAGCACCUCGGCGUAAUGCAGACGAUUCUUCACUAUUGUGUAUACGCUGUAUGUGUCUGUUCGCUAAAUAAGACGUUUCCUCGUUCAAAGACAUAAACUUGGGGAAAUCAGGUUAUGAUGAAUCGUUCGAAAACGUUGGGUGAUUGCGAUGAAAUUUACCGUGAGGUCGCCGACAUCCAUUUACCACCAGGAAUGGGGAUCGAUCUUUGCUGUCAAUGACGUCGUACAAACGCAUGAUGUAUUUUAAACACCAUAUGUAAUCUUGGGUAGCUCUAACAAUGGAGGCUAGUGAAAAAGAGUUCAACCUGACCCGGAGGUUUUCUGUCCUGCAUGUCAGAGGUUUUUCUAGAACGGAACCUUCCCACACUAAGGUUGUUUGUCAUGUAUUAUAGGACAUGCAUGAAAAUUGAGUGUUAUGCAAGAUAAG